AGAAAAUUUUUAUCGAAAAAGUUAAAAUGUCUAAGGCACUGUGCUAGGCGCCAUGUGGAGAGACCAAAAUUAUCACUUGCAAGUGAAGGAACCUAACAUGCUGGGGACAGAGGGUUCAUAUUAGAGGUGUCAACACUUCUAUUUCAUCUGGAUACUGCCUUAGUAGCAGUGAGUCUGGAGAAAAGAAAUGGAUUAUCAAAAGGACUGAGUGUUGCCACAGAAUGGCAAGUUUCAGUCAAGUGUAUUGACUACAACCUCCUGACAUCAACCAAUAUGAGUCUUCAGAGGACCCCACAUUCAGGCAAGUCUUCACCUGACCACUAGUCCUGUCUAUGUCAGCCUGUCAACAGAAUCAUGGACUAAAACGUCACAUG